CGUCAGCGGGAGGCCCAGGAAUCCAGUUGUUUGCGUCUCCCCCCCUCGACGUCCCCACACCCUUCUUCUUCCGACUCGAGACUUUAGCCUUUGUUCACUGCUCGCGCGCGCCGUGGACAGUCGGCCCCGCUAGUUUCUCGACGCCUCGGCAAGCUUUUCCAAAGCGACGACCUCUCCUGUGUUACCCAGCGCGGCACGACGGACUGUUUGCCCGUCGCUCGCUUUCUUCGCCUCUCCUGACUAAGCGCUUCCCUCUGCUAUUUCUUUUUCUGUGCUCUCGGACGCGCGUCAGUUGCGCAAGCGCCGCUCGUUCGGCGAUCAUCCGGCGUGCUUCUUUGACGCGCGCUGACGCCAGUGGACAGCCGCAGCUCCUCCCUUCCCUUUAAUCGCUCGGGCACAGAUUGCGUUUGCCCCCGAAGCACCCUUCAUCUCUGCCGUUUCGGUGCGACAGGACGAAGGAAGAAGCGGUUUAUUUGCUUUAUUUGGAAAAGAGUUCGUCUCCGACCCACGGCUGCUGCCGCCUCAGCACUUGCAGACAGAUGAAAUCAUACGCGGUCCUGUGGUUCUUCCUGGGAGUGAUGUGUUCUGCCAUGCUGACAGCGCACAGUCAAGCGUGCCGAACAGAAAGGCAACAGUGCAGUCCCCGGAACGCCUGCUGCGAGGGCCUGGCCUGCGCCCCCAUGUUCUUGGACGACAAGAACCCGCAGCUCUUCUACGGCAACUGCCUGCAGUCCGUGCCGUCGUCGCUGUCGCGCUCGGAGCCUCCGAAACCCGAGAGGCCGGCCUUCUCACCGCGGGGACCAGUGCUCAGGGACAGUCAGCGCUAACCCACGUCGCAGGAUCGACAACCUCAGCUUCACCGGCUCCCACCAUCUCACUAAUCAUCCCUAGUGCUCGACCACAUGCGUGACCACUGUGCGACAUCCACCUUCUAUACGUCUCCUUGUUUAGUGUUCUGUUGCCGCCAUUCGUGUGCUUUGAUGUGUGCGUGCUUUUUGCGAAUAGAACAAGUAAAAGAGAAACGGCACAA